AGCAACUGGAGGAUGUCUGCAGAAGGGAAAUAUCUAAGAUCUCCAAGGCAGACAGAGCAGUGGGCAUUUAUGGCUGCUUUACUGAGACCAGGGAGCCCUCAGUAGCCAGUGCCUCAGCAGCUGAAGUGGAGGCCUGUCCCCUCUGCAUGGAGCCCUUGCAGAAGAAACAGAGGCUGACAUGUACUCAUGCCUUCUGCGCAGCCUGCUUGAAAAAAUCUGUGGAAAGCCUUGGUCUUCAGUGUCCAGUGUGUCUAAAAGCACUCAGAGUGCUGGGAGACCAGCCAUGGGUACAUAGGUAUAGCUUUACACAUGACUAUACAUCAUGCUGCAUUACAUACAUUAUUCCCAAUGGAAUACAGAUGGAGGCCCAUCCCAACCCAGGAAAGCCCUUUACUGGAAUCAAUACACAGACCUGGUUACCAAAAAGCCAACAGGGUCAGGAGGUGCUGAAGCUGCUGGAAAGAGCCUUUGACCAGAGGCUGGUUUUUACUGUGGCUGCAACCGAUGGAGCUGAAGACAGAGUCGCCUUCACUGACAUCCCCCGUGCAAGAAACUCGAGUGAGUGCAGAAAGCCUGGUUUCCUGCAGGAAGUGAAGGCGGCGCUCAGAGCCAAAUUCAUUGAAUGAUUGGAUGAACAGAGACGUCAGAUCCUCAGCACAGCACCACCAAAUGGACAAGAAGGGAAACACUCUGAAGAUCACCACAUUUCAAAGAUGGACACGCAAUAGAUAGACAUUAGAAACGGAGAAGAACCAGCCAGUUGACCCUUGCCGUUUAUGAAGUCAGAAAGCAGAAUGAUAACUGAAGAUAGUGGCAGGUCACUGCUUUAGAAACACAUAUGUGAUAAAUCUACUCAAUCCUGAUGGAUCUAAUUCUGCUGACUCUCUCAUAGACUC